ACCAUCAUGUCUUUGAAUUAGACACUUUCCGCGGAAAGACCUUUUAGAGUUAUCAUCUUUAGAAAUUUCAUUUAACUUAAUAAAAAUUUAUCAAAAAUAACCAACUAAAUAAUAUUAGCCAAAAAUCCAAAAAAAAAAAUCAAAAUAAACGUACAAAAAAACAAAUUACAGUUUAAAAAGUCCAUAAUAUCCAAAAAAAAGUUUCCUAAUGAAACCAAAUUCAAUACCAAAUCAAAACCAAAUCCAAUAUCAAAUCGAGCUUCAAGAUCACCGCCCAACUUUCUCUAAGGAUUACCUGAAAAUAGUAAAAUAAUAAAGUUAGCUAAAAGCCAAUAUGUGUGCCACGGCGCACAAACAGAAAUCACAUGCAUAAUUAAAACAUACAUAUCAGAAUUUCACAUGUGCAAAAGUAUCUAUCAGAACAAAUUAAUCCAACCCCCGUCAGCUAUCUAUCAUCUCCAUCUAACCCAUCAAAUCAUAAGGAUUGCAAUAGUCCAUCCAACCAGCACAUCGUAAUGUUGACGUAUGCCACUCAGAAAAUUUACAGUUCAAAUAGAAAUUUGUGAAAAUACGGUAAAAAAUGUAGUAAUACUGCCAAAAUAAUACUUCCUCCAAUCCAUAUCAUAUCUCACCCCAAUGCACAUAUAUUAUCAUGUUAAUAUCUCAUACAACAUAUAUUCUUAUCGAAUCGAAAAUAUGACAUAUUUCAUCAAUGUCAUUAAUUCAGAUUUUAUCACAAGCUUAUAUAGAGUUAUUACUUAAUUUCAUACUUACUAACAUACAAACAUAUAAACUUUAAAGUACUACAUGCUAUCUAAAAAUCCAAUUUCAAAACUUUAUUCUCAAUCCAAACAGAACCCACAAAAAGAUCAGAAUGGAUCCACACACCCAUAUAACCUACACAAUCUAACAAAUCAAACUGUGUCACUCACACCGAGUGACGAACUGCAAUUUCGGAUUUUUCCUUAAUUUUUGAAUUAGAAACACACAUCUAAUUGCUGUAAAAAAGUCGGCACCACAACAGCAACAAUUACUGAACACAACAUUUACAACCCAACCUAAUUAGCAACUAAAAACGAAACCGAAAGGCGGAUUCAGUGCUUAACACUUAAACCAAUCCCCAAACCGGCAUUAGAAACUUAACCCCGGGAAAUCAGCAGUAGAGCAGCGACUAAACUGCCGGCGGAUGAUUGUGCACCUCACGAACUUCUCCUAUCAAAACAACAAAACAUCCAUCUAAGCGCUACCCAACAAAAUAACGGCCACCUACUCUAAGAUCAUAUCAACAAAGGAAGUACCACAUUACAACCGGUAACAAAAAAAUAGACGUUCUUACCCGAGACGAAACCUUAAAGCCGCACUUCCACUACAAGGAAGGAAACGGAAAAACGAAGUUGAACAAGGAAUGCUACGUCGGAUUAUGGCAGGAACCAAAAUUAAGAAGAGAAAAAGAAGGGAAAUAGGGGUGUAAAGUGUAAAUAAUUGGCAGCAGAGGAAACCAAAAAUUCGGCAGUCAAAUUGGAAAGAAAAAGAAAAACAGAGGGUAUGGAGGGAGGGGGGGAGUUGGACGGCAGCUUUGGAGAUAAAAUCAAAAUAAAUAAAAUCAAAUCCGAUUUUAUUUUAAAUUCAAUCCGAUACCAUCUUAUAAGUUGCUAGGAAUUCAAUUUCCACUCAAAUACCACUGGGUAGUACAUAAAGAUUCAAACAUAAGACUAAACUACCAAACUCAUUCUUGUCAACAACGUAAUGAAAUUGAAAGAUAUGCUCUACAACUCUGGUAUGACAUAAUUUCCAAAUUAAUAUGAAAAUUCAAAACAAGAGAAUCAAAUUCAAGACCUGUUGAUAUGUGUCUGUAUGUGAUACAAGUAAGGUAUGUGAAAAAUAUAUGUACGAUUUGUGUUUUUGAUAAAUCUGAAAUCUUGAUUACGUAUGAAAGGUAUGCAUGACAUUUGUUUAUGAAAUGCAUGCGUUAGUUUAUUUAUGCAUGUUAUGUGAUUGAGGAAGUGUAUU
rnacentral:lncRNA from 1 species